CCUACGGGAGGCAGCAGUGAGGAAUAUUGGUCAAUGGGCGAGAGCCUGAACCAGCCAAGUCGCGUGAAGGAUGACGGCCCUACGGGUUGUAAACUUCUUUUGUCAGGGAGCAAUUGGGUCCACGCGUGGGCUUAGCGAGAGUACCUGAAGAAAAAGCAUCGGCUAACUCCGUGCCAGCAGCCGCGGUAAUACGGAGGAUGCGAGCGUUAUCCGGAUUUAUUGGGUUUAAAGGGUGCGUAGGCGGAAUAUCAAGUCAGCGGUAAAAAUUCGGGGCUAAACCCCGUCGUGCCGUUGAAACUGAUGUUCUUGAGUGGGCGAGAGGUAGGCGGAAGGCGGGGGGUAGCGGUGAAAGGCAUAGAUAGCACGAAGAACUCGGAUGGCGAAGGCAGCAUACCGGCGCCCAACUGACGAUGAAGAACGAAGGCGUGGGUAUCGAACGGGAUUAGAUACCUAAGUAGUC
rnacentral:rRNA from 1 species